rnacentral:lncRNA from 1 species
UUUUGGUUUUGUAAGAUAUAAAGUUCUGAAUAUUGGACACACAACUGCAUGACUGUAAUUAACCCACUGAACUGUACACUUAAAAACGGUUGUGAUGGUGAACGUUAUGUGUAUUCUACCAUUAUUUUUUAAAAAAUGAGUAAAUAUUUUGACCAAGCCCCAGAUUUUUAUAAGGCUAAGCUAAUUAUUUAUGUCUUAUUAUAUUCAAGUAAAGUACACAGGUGUUAAAAACAAUUUUUUUUCAAUACUCAAUUUUUGAUGAGUUCAGUCAGUCACUCUACUAACUAAUAUGAUUUAGUAAACUGUAGACAUAUAGGCUUAGGCUUAUACAGUGAUUAAUUUUUAUUUGACACUUUUGGAAAGUUCCUCCAUUGCAGCAGUCUGGCUGGGCACAGUUCAGGAGCCACUUGUCAAAAGAAACAAACUUUAUUUUUAGAACACACAGGCCACACCACACAGCUCUUCAGGAAAACCCUCAGAGCCCAACUGCCACCACCAGCUUCCCACAAGCCUCUCAACCUCCCCCACACCUCCUGCUCUUGAGGCCCAUUGGCUGGGUCACUUGGGCGGAGCCAAAAAAAAGUCCCCCAAUGAGCAUCUCCCUGGUCUGAAAGGGUGGGGAAACAACCCAAUGAGCAUCACUGCAGAGGAACCAAUCAGUUGGCAGCUAGAAGUUUGCUGGGGCCCCUUCUGCUGGGGCCACUGUGAGCCAAUCAUCAGCUGGCAGCUGGUGCUGGCAGCUGGAAGUUUGCUGGGGCCCCUUCGGCUGUGGCUCUCAACACUCCAUCAUAGUAUAACGUUUAACUCUGAGGCAUUGUCAAGUUGUUUGCACUAGAAAAGGGAAAUUG